UAAGAGUUGCUUUGGUCGUUGUGUCUCCU
rnacentral:piRNA from 1 species